UACGGAGGGUGCAAGCGUUGUCCGGAUUUAUUGGGCGUAAAGAGCGUGUAGGCGGCCAAACAGGUCAGCUGUGAAAACUCGAGGCUCAACCUCGAGACGUCGGUUGAAACCGUUUGGCUAGAGUCCGGAAGAGGAGAGUGGAAUUCCCGGUGUAGCGGUGAAAUGCGCAGAUAUCGGGAAGAACACCCGUGGCGAAGGCGGCUCUCUGGGACGGUACUGACGCUGAGACGCGAAAGCGUGGGGAGCGAACAGG
rnacentral:rRNA from 1 species